rnacentral:piRNA from 1 species
UUCAGAUGGUCUUUGGUGUUUUCCUCUGGC